UACGUUCCCGGACCUUGCACACACCGCCCAUCAAGCCAUGGAAGCUGGGUGUACCUAAAGUCGGUAACCGCAAGGAGCCGCCUAGGGUAAAACUAGUGACUGGGGCU
rnacentral:rRNA from 1 species